UCUUGGCAUUUAGAGGAAGUAAAAGUCGUAACAAGGUUUCCGCUGGUGAACCAGCGAAGGAUCAUUACAGAGAUCAUGCCCUUCGGGGUAGACCUCCCACCCUGGUUAUUUACGUAUGUUGCUUUGGCGGGCCCCCCUCGGGGUGUGCCCGCCAAGGACCCCCAACUCUGUGUUUAGUGUCGUCUGAGUACAAUCAAAUAAGUAAAACUUUCAACAACGGAUCUCUUGGUUCUGGCAUCGAUGAAGAACGCGCGAAAUGCGAUAAGUAAUGUGAAUUGCAGAAUUCAGUGAAUCAUCGAACUUUGAACGCACAUUGCGCCCCUGGGUAUUCCUGGGGGCAUGCCUGUUCAGCGUCAUUUCAACCCUCAAGCUUAGCUUGGUCUUGGGCCAUGCCGGGACGGCCGGCCUUAAAACUAGUGGCCGUGCCGCCGGGCUCUACGCGUAGUAUUACUUCCUCGCGUUUGGGUCCCGGUGGACGCUGGCCAGCAACCCCAAAUUUUUCUGGUUGACCUCGGAUCAGGUAGGGAUACCCGCUGAACUUAAGCUAUCAAUAAGCGGAGGA
rnacentral:rRNA from 1 species